CUGUAGUCUUGGUAUGUCUCAUUGUCCUUCAAUAAUUUAAUAUAUUGAGAUUUCUUUCCCAUCAUCAUUUACAUUUUUCUUCUUAAUCGAUACUUGGAAGUUAAUAUAAUCAUUUACUCUGUUUUACAAUCUUUAAAAUCUUUAUAUGUAAAUCUGUGCCCAUAUGCAUUGUCAGAGAAACUAAAAAACUUACUCAUUCUAAGAUUGCAUUAUGGAAUAUGCAUCCAUUAUUCAAAGAAAGGGCGACAUUCCAAGCAUUCACACUUUCUCUCCUUGCUAGUUAAAUUGGCUGACAAGCUAAAGAAGUCAGUGGAGGAUGAAAUUCAUUUUCUCAAGGGAAGGGUUUCAGAACUUGAAAGUGAUCUUGUGUCAAAGUCCACAAAAGUUACAUCUGCAGUUUCAAGGAAAGAAGAAGCUCUAUCUUCUGUAUUUGCUGAAAUUAACCGUCUGAAUGAAGAAAAUUCUGUAAAAACGUGAGCAUUAUUUAAUGCAUAUGGAAAGUGUCUACUGUGUUGGAGUGUAUUUGUUUCUUACACAUGAGGGCACGCCUCAGUUGUAAUUCUUAUGAUAGGUUGAGCAAAGUGAAGUAUUGUUUAUUUAGAAAUGUGAAUGUGGGAUGCAUUAUAUGAUUUGAUUGCUAUUUGUAAUAAAUGCAUCGUUUUUUUUU